rnacentral:sRNA from 1 species
GCCGGGUAUGCUGGCUCAUGCCUAUAAUCCUGGUGCUUGGGAGGCUGAGGCAGGAGGAUGGCAGGUUCAAAGCCAGCCUCAG